UGGGGAAUAUUGGACAAUGGGCGCAAGCCUGAUCCAGCCAUACCGCGUGGGUGAAGAAGGCCUUCGGGUUGUAAAGCCCUUUUGUUGGGAAAGAAAUCCAGCUGGCUAAUACCCGGUUGGGAUGACGGUACCCAAAGAAUAAGCACCGGCUAACUUCGUGCCAGCAGCCGCGGUAAUACGAAGGGUGCAAGCGUUACUCGGAAUUACUGGGCGUAAAGCUUGCGUAGGUGGUCGUUUAAGUCCGUUGUGAAAGCCCUGGGCUCAACCUGGGAACUGCAGUGGAUACUGGGCGACUAGAGUGUGGUAGAGGGUAGCGGAAUUCCUGGUGUAGCAGUGAAAUGCGUAGAGAUCAGGAGGAACAUCCAUGGCGAAGGCAGCUACCUGGACCAACACUGACACUGAGGCACGAAAGCGUGGGGAGCAAACAGG
rnacentral:rRNA from 1 species